rnacentral:rRNA from 1 species
GUGGGGAAUAUUGGACAAUGGGGGGAACCCUGAUCCAGCCAUGCCGCGUGUGUGAAGAAGGCCUUUUGGUUGUAAAGCACUUUAAGCGAGGAGGAGGCUACCGAGAUUAAUACUCUUGGAUAGUGGACGUUACUCGCAGAAUAAGCACCGGCUAACUCUGUGCCAGCAGCCGCGGUAAUACAGAGGGUGCAAGCGUUAAUCGGAUUUACUGGGCGUAAAGCGCGCGUAGGUGGCCAAUUAAGUACAAUGUGAAAUCCCCGAGCUUAACUUGGGAAUUGCAUUCGAUACUGGUUGGCUAGAGUAUGGGAGAGGAUGGUAGAAUUCCAGGUGUAGCGGUGAAAUGCGUAGAGAUCUGGAGGAAUACCGAUGGCGAAGGCAGCCAUCUGGCCUAAUACUGACACUGAGGUGCGAAAGCAUGGGGAGCAAACAGGAUUAGAAACCCUGGUAGUCC